CGAGUGAGUGAAUAGCUCUAUGAAUAUCUGUUCCCUGGGGCCAGUAUCUGGGGUUGCUGUGGUCUUAGCAAGAAGGAGACAUUCACCAGAUGUGUUGUGUAAAUGAGCUAUUCCCUCAAGGGUGUCAAUAGACACUGCCCUUGGGGCUCAGAUGACCUGAAGCCAUUAGCACUCAAUAUUUAUGCCAGAAUCUUUCCAUCAAUAGAAACAUCUCCAACAAUCCAUGUUCUCACCUGAAAGAAAUACAUCCAAGAGGAAAUGACCCAUAGUAUCUAGCAGUAGAUAGAAUUUAAGCACAUAUGGUACCAUUACAGACCCCAGGAAAGGCACUUCUCUCUCCUCAACUUCACCUGCUCAAGUAGUGGGUAUUAGGGUGCUGGUGCUCUUCUUAGGGGCAGCAACAAGAAGGUGUAGUGGUUGAGCUCUGAGUGGCAAAAAGCCAGGGCCCAUUAGGGGAGGCAGAAGGGCUGAAAGCAGCACCUCUACGCACAGACAGCGUAGACUCAGACAAGUUACUGAGCCUCUUGCAGCCUCCACUGCCUUAUUUUUAAAAUGAGAAUCUACCAAAUCCAAGGUUUUGUGAAAAACACAUAAGUAAAAUAGAUGGUUAAUUCCUACCCUUUUCCAAGUAGUUCCGAUGCAGUGAUCAGUUUAUUUAUUCCUAUGCCUAGCAAAUGUGUGCGGCGGUGAUGGGGCGGGGGGGACCCGCUUCCCGAUGCCAGGGAUGCAGCAGAGAGGAAAAGGACAUCUCUGUGGAACUCACAUCCUAGAUGGGAGACUGGGAACCAGAGAACUGGGUGCUUAAAAGAACAGAAAAUGUAAAGGCCAGCAUGAUAAGAGCAUUCCUAGGAUAGCCCACUAUUCAGAGAAGAAGGAUGAGAGUUAUGUGGAUCAGAGCUGCCCCAGGCAACCUCCAGACCUGCAGUGAGAAGCAGAGCUGCGUAGCUCGGAACAGGCCAGCUCUACCCACCAGUACACACAUGCAGGCAAAAUGGAGGCCAUGGAUUAAGCCU
rnacentral:lncRNA from 12 species